AAACAGCUUCAGGGUACUGUGCAAUUCAGAACCGGCAGUGAACGGCGUUUAUGCCGCAGUCUGCGAGCCAGCGGAAACGCUGGCUGAUUCGGUGAAAUUCCGAAACCGACGGUAAAGUCCGGAUGAGAGAAGCCACGC
rnacentral:ncRNA from 2 species